GUUGCUUGCAGGCUUCCACAGAUUGUGCUUUCUGCUCUAAUGGAAACAACAAAUAUCAUACUGGUGCAUGCUUGUCUCUAAAUGACAACGUUAAAGGUUUAUGUCGAUCAGAGAAACGUGAAUGGUUCACUAAAGGUUGUCCUAGCAAGUUUGGGUUCUUUGCAGUGAUGCUUCUUGGUUUGUACAUCAUAGCCUACUCUCCUGGGAUGGGAACAGCUCCGUGGAUCGUUAACUCUGAGAUAUACCCCUUAAGAUACAGAGGCAUUGGUGGUGGGAUCGCGGCCGUCUCCAAUUGGGUAUCCAAUCUUAUCGUUAGUGAGACGUUCUUAACGUUAACGGAGGCAAUUGGUUCAUCUGGUACAUUUCUUCUAUUUGCUGGAUUCUCAACUAUUGGUUUAAUAGCCAUAUACUUUCUGGUGCCUGAAACUAAAGGCCUACCCUUUGAGCAAGUUGAAAAAAUGCUUGUGAAAGGCUAUAAACCCAAAUAUUUUCGCAAGAAAACAGGCGAAAAAGCCGAUACGAGCUAAGUUUAGUUUAGUCCAUAAUCUUAAUUAGUGUGUGAUUUGUGUCUGAUUAUGGUGAAAACCCUCUGAUUAUUUAGUUGAUGUUUUAUAUAGUAUAAUAUAAGAUGAUCAGAGAGUAUAAAUAUUUUGGUUUCUCAAUUGGAGAUUUU
rnacentral:misc_RNA from 1 species